GGAUGAACGCUGGCGGCGUGCUUAACACAUGCAAGUCGAACGAACCUUCGGGUUAGUGGCGGACGGGUGAGUAACGCGUGAGAAUCUGCCCUCAGGAGGGGGAUAACGGCUGGAAACGGCCGCUAAUACCCCAUAUGCCGAGAGGUGAAAUGAAUUCCGCCUGAGGAUGAGCUCGCGUCUGAUUAGCUAGUUGGUGUGGUAAAGGCUCACCAAGGCUUCGAUCAGUAGCUGGUCUGAGAGGAUGAUCAGCCACACUGGGACUGAGACACGGCCCAGACUCCUACGGGAGGCAGCAGUGGGGAAUUUUCCGCAAUGGGCGCAAGCCUGACGGAGCAACGCCGCGUGAGGGAUGAAGGCCUCUGGGCUGUAAACCUCUUUUAUCAAGGAAGAAGAUCUGACGGUACUUGAUGAAUAAGCCACGGCUAAUUCCGUGCCAGCAGCCGCGGUAAUACGGGAGUGGCAAGCGUUAUCCGGAAUUAUUGGGCGUAAAGCGUCCGCAGGCGGUUUUACAAGUCUGUCGUUAGAACGUGGAGCUCAACUCCAUUUCGGCGAUGGAAACUGUAAGACUAGAGUGUGGUAGGGGCAGAGGGAAUUCCCGGUGUAGCGGUGAAAUGCGUAGAUAUCGGGAAGAACACCAGUGGCGAAGGCGCUCUGCUGGGCCAUAACUGACGCUCAUGGACGAAAGCCAGGGGAGCGAAAGGGAUUAGAUACCCCUGUAGUCCUGGCCGUAAACGAUGAACACUAGGUGUCGGGGGGAAUCGACCCCCCUCGGUGUCGUAGCCAACGCGUUAAGUGUUCCGCCUGGGGAGUACGCACGCAAGUGUGAAACUCAAAGGGAAUUGACGGGGGCCCGCACAAGCGGUGGAGUAUGUGGUUUAAUUCGAUGCAACGCGAAGAACCUUACCAGGGUUUGACAUCCUGCGAAUCCCUUGGAAACUUGGGAGUGCCUUCGGGAGCUCAGUGACAGGUGGUGCAUGGCUGUCGUCAGCUCGUGUCGUGAGAUGUUGGGUUAAGUCCCGCAACGAGCGCAACCCACGUCUUUAGUUGCCAGCAUUUAGUUGGGCACUCUAGAGAGACCGCCGGUGAUAAACCGGAGGAAGGUGUGGAUGACGUCAAGUCAUCAUGCCCCUUACAUCCUGGGCUACACACGUACUACAAUGCUACGGACAAAGGGCAGCAAACUCGCGAGAGCUAGCAAAUCCCAUAAACCGUGGCUCAGUUCAGAUCGUAGGCUGCAACUCGCCUACGUGAAGGAGGAAUCGCUAGUAAUUGCAGGUCAGCAUACUGCGGUGAAUACGUUCCCGGGCCUUGUACCCCCCCCCCGUCCCCCCAUGGAAGUUGGCCACGCCCGAAGUCGUUACUCCAACCCUUGUGGAGGAGGAUGCCCAAGGUGGGGCUGAUGACUGGGGU
rnacentral:rRNA from 1 species